rnacentral:rRNA from 1 species
GCGGAACGAUGGGAGCUUGCUCCCAGGCGUCGAGCGGCGGACGGGUGAGUAACACGUGGGAAUCUGCCCAUUAGUGGGGGAUAACUCGGGGAAACUCGAGCUAAUACCGCAUAAUCCCUACGGGGGAAAGCAGGGGAUCUUCGGACCUUGCGCUGAUGGAUGAGCCCGCGUCGGAUUAGCUUGUUGGUGGGGUAAUGGCCCACCAAGGCGACGAUCCGUAACUGGUCUGAGAGGAUGGCCAGUCACACCGGGACUGAGACACGGCCCGGACUCCUACGGGAGGCAGCAGUGGGGAAUCUUGGACAAUGGGCGCAAGCCUGAUCCAGCCAUGCCGCGUGUGUGAAGAAGGCCUUCGGGUUGUAAAGCACUUUCAGUAGGGAGGAAGGCUUUGGGCUAAUACCCUGGAGUACUUGACGUUACCUACAGAAGAAGCACCGGCUAAUUUCGUGCCAGCAGCCGCGGUAAUACGAAAGGUGCGAGCGUUAAUCGGAAUUACUGGGCGUAAAGCGCGCGUAGGCGGUGUGUUAAGUCGGAUGUGAAAGCCCAGGGCUCAACCUUGGAAUUGCAUCCGAUACUGGCACGCUAGAGUGCAGUAGAGGGAGGUGGAAUUUCCGGUGUAGCGGUGAAAUGCGUAGAGAUCGGAAGGAACACCAGUGGCGAAGGCGGCCUCCUGGACUGACACUGACGCUGAGGUGCGAAAGCGUGCGGAGCAAACAGGAUUAGAUACCCUGGUAGUCCACGCCGUAAACGAUGUCUACUAGCCGUUGGGGUCCUUAGUGACUUUGGUGGCGCAGCUAACG